AUAGAUUUUUAAAUACGAAAAAUGGUAUUUGAAUGUAAUAAAGGAAAGCUUCGUAAUUCCCUUCCAACUACGGACAUGGAUACGUAGCUCUUUUUUACGCAUCUAGCAGCUCAGAUGACAAGCUCCAUACUUCUAAAUCUGCAAUUUCUUUCGAUAACUGAUUCUAGGUUUCGUUCUUACUCUCUUUCCAAUCAUCUUUCUUCAUCUCCGCAUUUGAUCUGCUCUCUUACACGCCCUCGAAUUUCUCGCCUUAUCAAAGUUACUGCUGUAUCCUCCAUGGAGGUCGAGCAAGGUGGAGAAUCUGCACCUGUUGACAGCACAGUUCCGCCCAUGAAGCUCUUGUUCGUUGAAAUGGGUGUUGGCUACGAUCAACACGGCCAAGACGUCACGGCUGCUGCAAUGCGAGCCUGCAGGGAUGCAAUCUCUUCCAAUUCGAUUCCAGCAUUCCGUAGAGGUUCCAUUCCUGGAGUCUCAUUUGGAGAGAUGAAACUACAGAUCAAACUUGGGGUUCCACAUUCUCUUCAACAAUCUUUGGAUCUUGAAAAAGUCAAGUCCGUCUUCCCAUAUGGAAAAAUUUUGAAUGUUGAGGUCGUCGAUGGUGGCUUAAUAUGCUCCAGUGGUGUGCAUGUGGAAGAAAUGGGAGACAAAAAUGACGACUGUUACAUAGUAAAUGCUGCUGUAUAUGUUGGCUACUAAUUUUCGUUGCAACAUUCCCCUUCGAGGAUCUUGGGGUUACGCGUUGUAGACUGCUAAUCAAUGUAAAACCAUGCAUGCUCCAGAGACGAAAAGAGCUUCAAGUGUUUCGCGGUUGGCCUUCACAUGGUGAAAGCUGCGUAGAGAAGCUCAUUCCAAGUGUCGGGCAAACCGGGAAGGCACCAAUGGCUGCAAUCUCUCCCAUGCUCGCCACUGUAAGUAGAGGGAUGAGCAUCUUUCCGCAGUUGUGACAACGUUGUAAUGUCCAGCAAGAAAACUGGCUUCCUCAUUCUACUCAGCACUCUCUUCACAAUUUCUGCAGCGGGGGGUGUCCCUGCUGGAUACAGUGACCCCGAGAGUGGUACACUUUCUCCGUUGCAACUCCUCUUUGGUUGGUUCCAAUCCUUUCCCCUGAUAAGGUAGAAACUUAAGAUUUUAGAGUUAAGAAGAAAAUGCAAAGUCUUAUUCCUAUAUUAUGCAGAUAAUUAGUUUUCUGGUCUGAGAAUUACUCCUCAACGAGAAAAUAGGUACAAGAAAAAUAAGAAUAGUAAUGCAUUAAAUUGAGCUGGACAAAAUUUGGACAACUUAUUUUCGUCGGCAGACCAGUUAAAAUAAUUUUUUGUCCUCGAACUGCACGUCAAUUUCCACUUUCGUAUGUAUAGUUUGACCAA